rnacentral:lncRNA from 1 species
UGCUGCUACCCUCUUUUUUCCACCUUCCUUAGUCCAGGCAUGGUGUGAAAUCCCCAAGGGAACACCGCAAUAUGUUUUAGCUUUUCUCAGUCUGGCAAGGGCCCCAGGAACACACUGCAUUGUUUAUUUCAGAUAAACCCUUUGCUGUAUUCAAUCCCCAGAAAACACGCAUGACAAUUAACAUCCUUGCAGAAGACAUUGGGAGACGGCAGGAAAUUUCAAGUAGGAAGUGCACUCGAGGGGAAAAAUAAGCACCUUUUACAAAAAAAGCAAGGUGCUGAUGAGUCUUGGCAUUUGGAUGAAUCAAAAACAACUGGGAUUUUUGAACACUUUAAAGCAGCGAGUUGAGUUCACUGGUGAAUAACUUCAUAUUCCUGAAGUUAAGAAGCCUGCCCUGAUGCUCAUGCAGUUACUUUGAGCAAUGACCAAACAGAGAGAGGAAGAAAGAAGUGUUGAAGAAGAGAGAGACAGAAGAAAAUCACCAUAAAAAGUCAGACACGAGAGCUUAGAAGUCAAUUAAGACAGGGCUUGGAAGGGGCAUUAGGUUUUUGGGGAACCGGUGUUACAUGAAAAAAAAAAACACCUCUGUUUGCAUCUGUAGACAAAGAUCUGUUCAGAAUGGUUGGCUUUGUGAGGUGCUGUGAGACAGAGAUGAAAAAGACAAUCUUCCAAGCCUUAGGAAAAAAAUAUUAACCAACCAUCUCUAGGAAAUUGCAAAAUAGUUUCUACUUUAUCAGGAUUUCCAAUUCCAGGUGAAUAGGAUAAAGAUGAUGGUCUUUGGAGGCAAAAAAAGUGUUACUGGGAAAGAAGUGAUAACCAGACACAUUCACAUCAUUAUGCACCAUCUCUGUUCUGAUAGAGAAGCCAAAAGCACAGGGCCAAUCCUUUGCUUAAGUUAUGAGCAUGGUAUGUAUGACCUAUGUCACACAUGUUAUUUAAAAUGCACAUUUUAGCCUAUUCAAGAG